rnacentral:rRNA from 1 species
ACGCACGCUGGCGGCGUGCUUAACACAUGCAAGUCGAACGGAAAGACCCUGCUUUUGUGGGGUGCUCGAGUGGCGAACGGGUGAGUAACACGUGAGUAACCUGCCCUUGACUUUGGGAUAACUUCAGGAAACUGGGGCUAAUACCGGAUAGGAGCUCCUGCUGCAUGGUGGGGGUUGGAAAGUUUCGGCGGUUGGGGAUGGACUCGCGGCUUAUCAGCUUGUUGGUGGGGUAGUGGCUUACCAAGGCUUUGACGGGUAGCCGGCCUGAGAGGGUGACCGGCCACAUUGGGACUGAGAUACGGCCCAGACUCCUACGGGAGGCAGCAGUGGGGAAUAUUGCACAAUGGGCGGAAGCCUGAUGCAGCAACGCCGCGUGCGGGAUGACGGCCUUCGGGUUGUAAACCGCUUUCGCCUGUGACGAAGCGUGAGUGACGGUAAUGGGUAAAGAAGCACCGGCUAACUACGUG